CCGAGUUCAUGCCCUUCGGGGUAGAUCUCCCACCCUUUGUAUACUAUACCUUUGUUGCUUUGGCGGGCCGCCUAGCUACUGGCUUCGGCUGGUAAGUGCCCGCCAGAGGACCCAACUCUUGUUUUUAGUGAUGUCUGAGUACUAUAUAAUAGUUA
rnacentral:misc_RNA from 1 species